UUCCUGAUUCCUGGACUGUUCAGUGUGAAUAUGAAGACGCUCACACAGUUACCUUGAUUGCUUGGUCUCCACGAGAGCAAGUCAGGUUUGACAACAGGAACCAAGAGGUACUUACUUCAAAAUACCUUGUUCACCUUGAAGGACGUUUACCCAGAAAGUGAGAGACCUUAGCUCAAAUCAUUCCAUUGAAUCGAGAAAAAAUGCAGCCAAAAGUGUAGAAAGUUUGAAUCUAGUGAUCUGCACUAUCUGGACCUUGGCAGAGGUCUAAAGAAUCAACAGCAUAAAGCUUCAAAUAGAUUUACUGAUUCACUCUCUGGUGGGACAACUCUGGUUUCAAAGGCACCAAGACCUUGAUGGGAAUGCCAGUUUUGUUUCUGAGCA